UGUAACAAGCUUGAUGGCAUUAUCAGAGUUAUUACAAGGUUGUUCUAACACGUUUGAUACAUGCAGUCAUGAUAUAAAAAGAAUGUUACAAGGUUGACGACACAAGGUUGUAACAAUAUUGUUAUAUCAUGAUUCAUGACUGUAUCGAACUUGUUGGAACAACCUUGUAACAAGUCUGAUAACAUCAACAAAGUUGUUACA